UUUAGGCUAGGUACCCCAUCCACUGGGACCCCAAAUUUGAGCAUGGCAGCUGCCCCCUCAGCUCCUGUGAGGUGGAGACGUCACACACUGAUUGGGUGUAAGCUCAGCGAUCUGGCGGGAGUGGAAGGAGGAAGAAGGGCUCACCCCCUGCUGGCUCUCCCUCCCCGUGGGACUCCUUUUCCUUUUCAGGAGGGGAUAUAAGCCCGGAAAGGAAAGCCCUGAGCAGAGAAGGCCUCAGCUUGACCUGACCCAGUGCAGCCCUUGAAACUUCCCUCGCCUUCUACCUCCUGCUCAUCUGCUUCAUAAGCUGUCGCUAUGGUGUCGGUGCGCAGGUCGUGGCCUACCAUGGCCACAGUGCUUUUGGCCCUGCUCGUCUACCUGGGGGCGCUGGUCGAGGCCCACCCCAUCAAACCCGAGGAUCCCGGCGAAGACGCCCCCUUGGAGGAGCUGAGCCGCUACUACGCCUCCCUGAGCCACUACCUCAACCUGGUCACCCGGCCGUGGUGAGCGCAGGCGCGGGACAGCCCGGACACACGCCUCUCCAAAACGUUCUUCUCAGACGGCGAGGACCGCCCGGGCAGGUCGCAGUAAAAGCGCCCCCGUCAAGUCACAUAACAUCCUGCCUCCGAGAGUGCGGUCUGGCCCCACCCUGGUACAUCACUUACGACGUCUCCCAGGCUCGCCUCCCCAGAUCGGAUUCCUUUCCCUUCACUCCCGCAGGCCGGAGGCGCAGACCUGUGGUGAGGACCCCCGAGGCCUCCUGGGAGAUCUGCAGACCACGCCCACCUCAUUUGCAUGUUCACUCCCGACCCCGGAAACCCGGAUUCCGCCUCCCGACGGCAUCUGGGCAGGGAUCAGGUACCGCAGUCCUGCGUCUCGGUGCCCUCGCCUCUUGAGCUGCAGGGCUGUAUGUGGUCCUUCCCUGGUCCCAAAAUAAAGAGCGAAUUCCCCAGAAA